ACGAACGCCGGCGGCGUGCUUAACACAUGCAAGUCGAGCGGUAAGGCCCUUUCGGGGGUACGACGAGCGGCGAACGGGUGAGUAACACGUGGGUGACCUGCCCUCAGCUCUGGGAUAAGCCUGGGAAACCGGGUCUAAUACCGGAUAUGACUCCAUGACGCAUGUUGUGGGGUGGAAAGCCUUGUGCGGCUGAGGAUGGGCCCGCGGCCUAUCAGCUUGUUGGUGGGGUGAUGGCCUACCAAGGCGACGACGGGUAGCCGGCCUGAGAGGGCGACCGGCCACACUGGGACUGAGACACGGCCCAGACUCCUACGGGAGGCAGCAGUGGGGAAUCUUGCGCAAUGGGCGAAAGCCUGACGCAGCGACGCCGCGUGAGGGAUGACGGCCUCGGUUG
rnacentral:rRNA from 1 species